AUGAUUUAAAGGAGAAUAAGGUGGGUAGUUUGAAAACUUUGGGGUGGAAAAGGUUGAGUGAUUGAAUUGAAUGAGUUCUUUUAGUCACUUGAUCCAUAAAUAUUCCUUCCCGCACUUUAAAAUUUCAUCUUAACCCACAAUACCUUGGUGAUUCCAAACUAGGUAAGUCUACAUUAGUAGAAAAAAAUACAAAGGGUAAGCCUAUGGUUCUACUCGUUGUGCUUGAAUUUUCUUGCGAGAGUGAGUGUGACAUCUUUCAUUAUUUGAGCUCCUUUAGAAAUUUUAAUUUCAUGUGUGUAUGGAGCUAACUCUUGCUUGUUAGCGGGAUUGAUACGUUGGGGUAGAUAGUGAAGUCUUAUGCUCAGUUUGGGUAAAUGGGUGGAGUAAGUUGCAUUGUGAAGAUUGAGACAAUCUUUGAAGAUUUUGUGUGUCCUCUUAAUAUGCUUUGUUGAUUUGGAAAGUUCAUUUGAUGGAAACUUGCAUCCUUGCUUCAUACAUAUGUUCUUAUUAAAAAAUUUUGAUUUACUUGUUGCCUUGACAUGUUUGGAAAGUCUUUGUAGAGCUUUGUUAGCUUAUUCCUUUGGUAUAGUUUUUUCUUUGGGAGGAAUUGAGUUAAAAACCAUAUCUUAUUGAAUUAUAAUUAUUUUCUUGGGGACAAGCAAUAUUUUAAGUUUGGGGGUGUUGAUAAGUCAUCAAUUUGACAACUUACUAGCAUUUUUUAAGUCUAAAUUAUCACCUAUUUUCAUUGAUUUGUUGUUAAUUUCUUACUUAAUGCUCACUGGUGUAGGUAAAAGUUGAAAUGAGAAGAUGAUCAAGGAAACUUGAUAAAAAUGAGUUGAGGAAAAGGUACAAUAGAAGAAAUAUGAAAGAAAAGAGCCAAUGGAAAUCAGGCCCAAGAAUCAACCCUUAUUUACCGCGAUCAUGGCCUGUGGGUCAUGAUCGCGAUCAACAGUCAAGUCAACCAAUGGUGAUCGUGAGAUGAUCAUCGCAAUCACGGUAUUGAGAUUGUAGUUAAGAGAUGGCAAUUGCGAUAGGGAGGAAAUAGAGAAAGGCAACAUUUUUGUAAUAUUUGGUAUAUGUGAAAUUGGGGCAAAAAU
rnacentral:lncRNA from 1 species